rnacentral:rRNA from 1 species
AGAGUUUGAUCAUGGCUCAGGAUGAACGCUAGCGGCAGGCUUAAUACAUGCAAGUCGAGGGGCAGCACAGUAUAGCAAUAUAUGGGUGGCGACCGGCAAACGGGUGCGGAACACGUACACAACCUUCCGAUAAGAGGGGGAUAGCCCAGAGAAAUUUGGAUUAAUACCCCGUAAGAUAAAGUUCAGGCAUCUGGAUUUUAUGAGAGGCGCGAGCCGCUUAUUGAUGGGUGUGCGUCUGAUUAGGUAGUUGGCGGGGUAAAGGCCCACCAAGCCUACGAUCAGUAGCUGAUGUGAGAGCAUGAUCAGCCACACGGGCACUGAGACACGGGCCCGACUCCUACGGGAGGCAGCAGUAAGGAAUAUUGGACAAUGGACGCAAGUCUGAUCCAGCCAUGCCGCGUGAAGGAUGAAUGCCCUCUGGGUUGUAAACUUCUUUUAUAGGGGAAGAAAGAUACUUUUUUCAAGGUAGUUGACGGUACCCUAUGAAUAAGCACCGGCUAACUCCGUGCCAGCAGCCGCGGUAAUACGGAGGGUGCAAGCGUUAUCCGGAUUUACUGGGUUUAAAGGGUGCGUAGGCGGGCAUGUAAGUCAGUGGUGAAA